rnacentral:rRNA from 1 species
UACGGAGGGUGCGAGCGUUAAUCGGAAUUACUGGGCGUAAAGGGUGCGUAGGUGGUUAAUUAAGUUAUCUGUAAAAUCCCCAGGCUCAACCUGGGACUGUCAGAUAAUACUGGUUUGACUAGAGUAUGGGAGAGGGUAGUGGAAUUUCCGGUGUAGCGGUGAAAUGCGUAGAGAUCGGAAGGAACACCAGUGGCGAAGGCGGCUACCUGGCCUAAUACUGACACUGAGGCACGAAAGCGUGGGGAGCAAACAGG